ACAGUUGCCUGGUAGGAGAGAUGCCAUGAUCUUGAAGGUGCUUUCCCCAGGGCGUCAGGCUGUCCAUCACACUUGUGAAGUACUGACCUCUGCAAUUUCUCCACGUUUGAGAGGGAAAUUCGACUGCAGAAUUGGUGGGGUUUGGGUUCCGACUCUCUCCUGA